GUGAGCUUGUGUGUGUUUGUGUGUAGGUGAGCUUGUGUGUAGGUGAGCUUGUGUAGGUGAGCUUGUGUGUGUGUCAAUGAGCUUGUGUGUGUGUCAGUGAGCUUGUCUGUAGUAUGCUUGUGUGUGUUGGUAAAUUUGUCUGUAAUGAGCAUUUGUGUCAGUUAGACUUUUCUGCAGUGAGCAUGUGUGUGUGUAUCAGUGAGCUUUUCUGUAGGGAGCAUGUGUGUGUGUCAGUGAGCUUAUGUGUAAGCGAGCUUGUGUG